rnacentral:rRNA from 1 species
GUAGGGAAUCUUCCGCAAUGGACGAAAGUCUGACGGAGCAACGCCGCGUGAGUGAAGAAGGUUUUCGGAUCGUAAAACUCUGUUGUCGGAGAAGAACAAGUAGGAGAGUAACUGUUCCUACCUUGACGGUACCCGACCAGAAAGCCACGGCUAACUACGUGCCAGCAGCCGCGGUAAUACGUAGGUGGCAAGCGUUGUCCGGAUUUAUUGGGCGUAAAGCGAGCGCAGGUGGUUUCUUAAGUCUGAUGUGAAAGCCCACGGCUCAACCGUGGAAGGUCAUUGGAAACUGGGGAACUUGAAUGCAGAAGAGGAGAGUGGAAUUCCAUGUGUAGCGGUGAAAUGCGUAGAUAUAUGGAGGAACACCAGUGGCGAAGGCGACUCUCUGGUCUGUUAUUGACACUGAGGCUCGAAAGCGUGGGGAGCAAACAGGAUUAGAAACCCUUGUAGUCC